ACCUUUCACAAUUACUUAUCUAAGUUAACCUUUUUUUUUUUCUUAUUGAACAGCCAAAAAAAUUCAACUACAAGUUGGGUGUUAAAACAUAUGAUUGAAAAUACCAAGUAAGAACCCCAAUUUCAAGUAAUUAUGUUCAUUAAAACAGGCUCAUGUACCUCAUAAAUUGAAUUAAUAAUAAGCAAAUGAUAUAAAUUUGAAAAUUUUGAAUAAAGUGAUAUUAAUAAAAUUACCCUUUUAUCUGAUGAAUCCAUGUAUUUUUGCACAGUUGUUGCCUUGUAAGAAAUGGAUGGAAAGUGACUCUGCAGAAAUCCUAAGUGCAAGCAGGCUAUCAGGGUUAUCUCUGUCAACACCAGUGAUUUUAGAGAGAAUGACAAAUAUAGAAGAUGUGGAAGACAAGUACUGGACAUGUCCUGAUCAAGACAAAUAUUGAAAGGUGAUUUUUAAAAUAUAGCUCCCUAGUAGCAGCUUUGUUGAUCUGACUCUUUCUCAUAAAAGCCAGUUACAUUUUUAAUUUCCUACUCAUUAGAAAUUCCAACUAUAUAAAGCCUAUGUCUUAUUACAGAAAACUAAAAAUGCUUAAGCCUGCACUAUUUUAAUUCCAUUUUACUGGUAGGAUUUUGUAAUAAGUUAAAACAAGUAUAAUUAGGAGUUCCCAUUGCAGCUUAGUGGGUUAAGAACCUGAUCUUGUCUCUCUGAGGAUGUGGGUCCAAUUCCUGGUCUCGCUCAGUGGGUUAAGGAUUCGGCAUUUCUGUGAGCUCUCACGUAGGUCACAGCUGCAGCUCAGAUCUGGUGUUGCUGUGGUUGUGGUGUAGGCCAGCAACUGCAGCUCCAAUUCAACCCCCAGCCAGGGAACUUCCAUAUACCACAAGUUUGGCCAUAAAAAGAAAAAAAAAAACAAGCAAAAAACAAGUUUAAUUAAUCAAGCAGUGUCUAUAAAGAUGCCUAAAUUUAAACAGUAUUUGACCAUAGAUAUUUCUCAGGCUAUAACAUAAAAGCUAUACUAUAGCGGAAAGGGGGGGUUAAUGAAACAGCCAAUUUCUUCAAAGAAAAUAUAUCAAAUAGAAAAUAUGAUACAAUAAAGUUAUGUGGCAUCUAGACCAUGUCUAGCUAGAAUUUUUAGUACCCAGGAC
rnacentral:lncRNA from 1 species